GCCCCAAGCUUUCCUGCAUGAUAAAGAAAAAGGAGACAAGGUCCCUACCCUUGAAACAAGAAUUAUAAUAAGUCUUAAUGUUCCAGGUAAGAGGGAAAAUGUUAUGAUAAAAGUUCUUAUAAUAACAAUAGCAGUAGCUAACAUAGACUGAGCAAAUGCCAUGUAAAUUUAAAACAAUGUGCCAAACUUCAUUUUAAAUUAAUUUUUAAUCUUCAAAAAAUGUCUAUCUGGAAGUGCUUUUUCCUGAUAUAACAGAUAAGGAAGGUGGACUCAGAUAUUGUAAGAAAAUUGCAAAGUGACCCAGCCUGAGAAUUCAGGUGGUUUACCAGGUCACAACCUGACUCUCAGUGUGGCCCAAGGUGCCUCUGGCUGUCCAGGGGAGGGUAAGGGAGACCCCCAGCUUCCAGCAGGUGUGUGGGAAGAGAAGUCCCAGACCAGGCGUUCUGCUCUGCCGGAGGUCAGGACCCUUGGGAAGAUCAGCUGGACUUGUGCAUCCAAGGACGUUCAGCACACAUCCUUUCCCCAAAUUUACAUCAUUAAACAGAAAUUACCAUGCCUUAUGUAAAGGCUGUCACCCUUUUGUAAAAUCAAAAGUCAUUUGUAAUUGAGAUAAGCCGCAUGGAGGACUACACAUUUGAAACACGCUGCAUUAAACCUGCCUCCUCCAGUGAAAUCCUGAGCAUCGUGGGCACAUAGGCCUCCUGUCUCGUCUUCCAAAUUAAGGGCACUCAGCAGAGCUGCCACAUUGGGCACUAAUGAAUUCUCAGAGACUAAUCUGAGCGGUAAUGAGGACUGGAAUCUGUCACUCACUCUCCCUGGAGGUAACAGUUCACACACCCUUACAUCACCCCAUUAAAAUAACUUAUUAGCUGCGUAGUUUGUCUGCUGCUAUUCGUUAAGAAGGUGUGAUCAAAGAGACAUGCUUUUGGACAAGCGACACAAUUUAAUUCGUAUUGUUCUCUGUUUUUAUGGCUGAAUGUCUACAGGACAUGCUGCAGGUAAAUCAAAGCAUUUUACACAGGAUGUAAGUAUCUUACGGGAAGUAUCAAAAAAUCAUGACUUUUUACCAAUCAAAUGAAAAACAAAGGUAGCUGAGAAUCUGCAUCCAGUUCAGAAUUGAGGGGAAUCUUGCACACUCCGUUCCCUGUACUUCUCGCUCUUGUUUUCAUAAAAGGCUUUCAGUAGAGGUGUAAUGCAUUAUGCCAUGAAACCAUUGUUAAAUUAUUCUGAAAGCUAAACUGGGAGGGUAAAUUUAGAUAGAAUAACCAGGAGUGGAGUGAAAUUUUUAUCAGAAAUCUAGCAGAUUAUGUAAACACUUUGCUGUUUAAUUUUUGUCAGUGUAUCUCAGUGAUACUGUGGGUUUUGAUCUCAUACAGAGAUUACUGAAGUUCUGGGUCUCCCUUUUGAGAAAGGUAUAAUCUUGGGGGAUAUCAUUUAGCCUUUCAUGUUCACAUGCAGAAUGAGAAUAAAAUGAUUCUCCCUCAUACUUGUGUCCUUGGGAGGAUUACAUGUAACUUUGCCUGUCCCUUGUAAAUUUUCAAAAAUAUCUAUUGCUAUCCCAGUCACCAUGGUUGUUCUGUUUCCUCCAACAAAUUCAGACACUUUUUUAUAUUUUUAAAUUGAAAACAUUUUUGUUUGCUUUUGAUGGAUAUUUCAAAUAUAACACCUACAGAGUGCAGUUUACAAGUAUUGGAAAGCAACUUGGACUCCUUAUUAAACCAAGUGGUCACUUUUGCAGCCCUGCAGCCCUCUACUUACCCAUCCUUCACUGAAGAGGGCCAUAUCUUGCAUAGUUCUACUAGCUUUUAUCUUUGUGAUUUUAACUAAGUACCUUUAACUUUAAAGCUUCAUGUUCUUCAUCCUUGGAAAAGAGACAAAAUACCUCUUUUUCAUGGCACUGUGCAGAUUAAAUCAAACGAAUGGUGUGAGCCAUCUAUCAGCACACACAAAGGCUCAAAAACCUGCAAUGGUUGUGAUUGCUCGUGACUCCACUGGUCCACCGUCUCUCUGCAAGAGGCAGCCCUGUGUCAUUUCCUGACAGUUGUGUAAAUGCAGGCUGUACCUCUUCACCCUUUUCUGUUCUCUCUUGUGUCCUCAAAAGCCUGCAGUCCCCAGGAAACUGCCUGGAGGUGGACUGGUUUGAGAACAGAACUUUUCAAACUAGACCAUGUCAUACUUCUAUAGACUGUCUGAGUUUGGCCUCAUUCUUUCAGCAAGCUAUGCAAAGCUCCUAUGUUAGUGUCCUAGUUGUUAUGUUUUUCGAUCAUUAAUUGACUAAGUAUCAUUAACACAAAUUUGAAAUAACAUUAAGAUUCAUGUUAUUAGUGAGGAGCACAAAUCACUCAUAGACUUCCCAAACUGCAGUGGCACCUCAGUUCACGACCUUCAUUUUCGCUAUGAUUUUGGUCACAGAAUUCCUUCCACUGCAACCAGAAUUGUGGAAAGAAUUAAGUUUAUGAAUGUAGGUACAACUGUAUAGGGUAAAAAGAAUAGUUUAAAAGUAGCAGUUAUAUGGGCACAGUUAUUCCAUAACAGGUAGAAGAAGAGAUUUCAGUUAAUUUUGUAUUUUUCAGAGUUCAUAAAUUCAUAAGCACCCAACAAAAUCUCACCCGAAUGCUGUUUGAACAAAUUGGACUCUUUCUUACAUUUGGACCUUGGCAUGAACAUGUUCUGAAGGUUUUAUUCAUGAGAAACAUACAAUUGAGGCAUUAACUUUCCACCAUUUUGCAUGAAAUGUGUCUUUCCAGAUUUAUGUUCCCUACAAAUCUUAUCACAGUUUUCUAAAAUGCAGUAUAGUUUCUUUUAAAAAAUUAUUUUAGAUAUUUUGAAAGUACACAUAAAGCAAAAGCUCUGGUAUUUUUCUUGUGAGGUCUGCCACAUCCUCCAGAGAUAGUUCACCUCUUUGAAGAGAAGAAAAAAUGAAAGUAGUAAAUUAGCCCUUAUUUGUAUAGUGUCUUAUAAGGCCCAUCAUAUAUUAAAUGAUGCUUUGCAUAUAUUGAAUCAUUUAAUCCUCACCUCAGUCCUAUGAACCGAUACUAUCGUUAUUUCCAUCUUACAUUGCAGCAAAGUGAGCUGCACAAAAAUAAUUUUCUGAAAGUCACACAGACAGACCUGAAAAUCAAACAUGAUGAUUCUUACCCUAAAAUAUCACCUGUCUAAAUCAAUUGUUUAGCCAAAGUCUUUUGAAUUUGUUGACAUUGAACUUGUGACAUAUCCAUUGGUGUUGUGGACUGCUGUCUUGAUGAGUGCUACUGGUAUGAGUCCUAGCUAAAGAAAAAAAAAAUGCUUUCAUUUGGCCUGAAACUCUCAACUUAAGAGAAAUACUUUAGGUUUUUUUGGCCUGUGAUAAUUUGUAUGACUGUUUUAGGUAAAGCAACUGAGAGAAGAUAUUUAUCAAAUCACAUUACAAAUUCCUGAUUCAAAAUUGAGUGGAUCGCUGGCUUUUGAAGGUGGCAUGGAGACUGAAUCAGGCUCAGAGCUCAGAAGCAAACAAAUUCUAUACCUCUUUUAGAAAUUGGUCAUAGAGAGAAAACUGUAAAAGUUGACCCCCCACUGUUAAGCUGCUGUGUGGUUCUGAGAGGGGACCCUAAUUCACGGCAGGUUCUGAUUUGACUGGGUCAUUUAUGAUAAUUCCACUUCCCUUUCCAGUACUGAUUGAAAAAGCAGUACUUCGGCCAAUCAGAAAACAACCUUCCCCCAGCUGUCUUUUGCUCAGGAAUGUGUGACCUAACUUGUCCCAGUCCUGAUCAAUGAACACACUUGUCCCAAGCUGAAGGGAGUUAUCUUCUCUCCCACAAGGGUGAAAGUUUUGGGAGUGAAGUCACCCCCGGGGACAGCAGAGGAGAAAGGGACAGGCCCGGAGCAUGGAGGUCUUCAGCUGCUGGACCUGUCAGUACCAAGCCCACACUACCUGUAACUUCGUUUUUGUAGGACAAACACAUUGUGUCGUAGUUUAAGUUUGUUUGAAGCUGACAUUCUGUUAAUUUAACCCAAAUGCAUCUUAAGAACUCAUCUUUAUUCUUGAGAUCCUGCCACAGAAUCCCAGAUUUAAAGGAACAAUUAAGAUCUGUGAAGUUGGAAUCACUGAUAAUUUGGUUCCAACACAUGAAGUGGCCCAAUUCACCACCACACUAGGGAACACACAAUGUAACCAUGUCAGUCACAAGGGAAGCACUUUCAUAUAUAUUAUCUGUAUGUACCUUUAUUCUAUAGCUUGAAUUAUUAUCUAUAGUCUACUUUGUCUAUACUCUUUAAAUGAAAGCACAAAAGAUCAGAGUGGGUUAAUGCUCCUGAACUCUUUGAUUCAGAUGACUCAGGUUAGGAAGGAUGGAGCGCAUAGGUUCUAGAUCAUUUUAGAUGGAAGGAAUUUCUAUUUGCAGAAUGGAACAUUACAUGCCACUUUAAAUAUCAUACACUAUCACUCCUCCCUCACUGCAUUUUCUUAUGGCAAAUCACCAUGUGCGUGACAUUUGGUAAUUCUGAGGUUUAUAUUUCUCAAGUUUCUUUCAGUUAUAAUGUGUGUGUAUGUGCAUUUCUGCAAUACAUAUGAAAUAUAUUUAAUUUAGCCUUUAAUUUCUUUAUUGUCUCAUAAUUCUCCUUUUCUUGGAUUUGCUAACUUAGAACAUUGUAAUGGGAUCCUAAAUGGAAAACAUUUGUUACUCAUUCUGGGGCUGCUAAGUGAAUAAAAUUUGGAUAACAUAGCAAAGAAAGAUGAUUAUCACAUGAGAGUGAAGCAGUCCAAUGCAACAUAAUGUCUAUCGCAGAUGACAAAGUCUCUGUGGAGUCACAUUUGUUGCUUUCAAAAGUCUUAAAUUCUUCAGAGAGUGCUACUGCAAAUACUUUUAAUUCUCAUGAAACAACUGGUCUGGGAAAUUUAAAGGAGCAAGUAACCAACCAGAAAUCAUUUUCCGACUCAACCUUCUAGUGCUUUCUCCUGAGUGUAUUUCUUUUGAAACCAAGAUAACUUGCAUUUGUUGUAGUUUCAGACAUUAACAUGAGAUUAUUCUUAUCAUGAUCAAAAGCUGGAGGAGUUCAAACCCAUGGGGCCAUGUGGAUUGUUCAGAGAUUUUGCAGAACCUAGGGCUGAAUCAUAAGGCUGAGCAAAAGCAGACACCUUGGAAAGAAGAAAAGGUUACGUUAGACUGGUCAGCAUGAUUACCCAGCUUAACUUCAAAGAGCUCGGAACCAAGACAGAAGCAAAUACGGCUUCCCAAAGCCUGUUCUGAGUACUGGUAAUUACAGUGUGUAUGGAUAGAAAGGAUUCCAUGGACAUGGUAUGCAGAAUUUAUUUAGCUGAAGAUCCACUGUGUGUGUGUGUGUGUGUGUGUGUGUGUGUGUGUACUUGUGAUCAUAAUGGGAUCAAAAACACACCUUGGAAAAUAUUGGGCUAUGACAUGGAAAAGUUCCUUUUGAAAUAGUUAUCUAUAUGAAAAUAAAGAAGAUACAGUGGAGAACAUUUAUUUCCUCUUACCCAUUUUUGUGUGGAAGUAUUGCUUUAAAUCAUUGUUUAAGCUGAAAUAAUAAUAACAGUUUGGAUAGUGUAUAUCAUAAUUUGUUUUCAAAAUAGUUACAUCUUCAUUUCUUCUUUUUAUUUCUAAGGAUACCCUGAGAUGAAAAUUAGAAAACUGUGGACCACAGGCCCAGUUUGGCCAACAACCUAUUUGGUAUAGUACGAAAACUAGAAAUAUUUUAAAGGUUUAUUAAGAAAAAGUAAUAUCUGUCAGAGAUGAUACAUGUCAUGCAAAGCCUAAAACAUUUAGUAUCUGUUUUUUUACAGAAAAAUUUUGCCAGCCCCUGGACUUGGUUAUACGAUUAUGCAGUACUAACACGUGACACCUAUAUCUCAGUGCUUUUGCCCAAUGAAGUACAUUAUUUGUCAGUGCCACAUGCCUAAAACAGCUUGGCAGGAGUCUCUGUGUCUCAGGGCCACUCAGAAAUCAGGCCUGACAGAAUCUCCAGGUCAGUGCGUGCUUAACAGUCCCCACAGCAACAGGGACACGAUGUGCAGAAUCCUGGCUCAGAACUUGCCCCUGGGCUCCGAGUGCAGCGCCUCUGCUCACAUUCCAGGGGCCAAGCUGGUUGCGCAGCUCCUGAUGGCUGCAGAGGAAAUGCACUCCAACUUCAUGCCUGGAAGAGGUGCAUUCAGAAAUGAGUGGCGAACAAAGAUAUGAAUGCAGGGUGCACCCGCGCAGGAAAAAGUCAUGUGUGUGCACAGGAGGCUUGUUCCAGAAGAAAGAGGCUGGAACCACACCCAUGAAACCUGAUUCACUGAUCCCUCUAGAUCUAUGUAUUUAUAGUGCUAUCGCUAUGACAUAAACUGAUGUGUAGACACAUUUCUAUUAUGUGGGAGCUGAAUUUUUGUUCUAUGUACCUGUUUAUUAUAUACUGUAUACGAAAGCAUACAUAUAUACAUGUGAAAUAGAUUUUUGGGUAGCAAUGUAUCUAUCAAGAGAUAUCUACUAUAUAAUUACUAGAUUAUUAUCUGAGAUAUACUCAUUUUUAUGUAAUGGAGGGUGGUCUGAUAAACAACUUGAUGCAGAUUGAUAAAUGUGGGCUUCAGUGCUAAAUAUUUAAUAGAUAUAUCUAUAGGAUAGGAAUUAAAACAUAUUACAAGUGAAAUCAGGUCUCAUAGUGCAUGGAUUUCAGAUGUCAUGUUUGUAUGUGUGUAUGUGCAUACAAUCUAUAUUAGUGGUAUUACUAAAUAUAUUUAUACUUCCUUCAUAUACAAAUAGAAACAUACACAGAGAGGAAGAGAAGUAUGUAUGUGUGUGCAUAAGACCCUGUCACGCAUGAGUUACAAGAAGAAUAUGAAAAUAAAUUUAAAUAUCAUCUUUAGAGGUAGUAUAUUCUAGUCUCAAAGAGACUAACACUUCUUGGUAUAAGAUAACAUGUGUUACCUUACAUCAUUGUAUUUACCUCAAAUCUGUCUGAAUUUUAAAUGAUGCAAUUUUCACCUCAAAGCCUGUCAUUUUAAGGAGCUAUUUUCUGAAAGAAUAGAAGGAAGGGAUUUAGGAAGAGAAAAGGAUGGAGGGAAGGAAAGAAAGGAAGAAACUUUAUUUUAAUGAGAAUAGUUAACUUUUAAUCAAACAUUUUGAAGGUGGGCCUUGUGUGCAAAAUGUUUGCUUAAACUAAAGGCACCACAAUUUUUCCAGAGAACUAAAAACAUUUGGAAAAUCAUAAAAGGAUAAACAUUAGCAUUAGAAGGAAGCAUACAGUUGAUUCUAGUCUGUCGUCCUUGUUCUACAGUUGAAGAUGGUGAGGUUAGUUAUGCAGAUUUCUGCUUAAUCUUACACGUGUACUUCCUGUUCACUAAUCCCCCUCUACCUUUCUAAGUAAAUGCCGUCUAUAACUUGGAGGUUGUGCUGGAGAGGCAUUUGUAUGAUUUCAGGUUGGAAUACUCACUCUGACAAAGAAGAGUGGGCCCUCUCCUGAAAAAGGGAAACCUGCUUGGUUUCAAGGUCCCUGUGAAUCGACAGCAUCCUCACAACAGGUCUACAUGCACAAGGUCAAAAUCGAUCACCCACCUCUGAACGUGUGCUGGCCACAGCUUUCUUGGCUCAGCAGUGAAGCUCGAAAAUUGUGGGUGAUAAAUAAUUAAAGGGACCAUUUUAUGAGUUUCACGUCUGCAUCUUUUCUUGGAUCAGAGACAAGAAACCUAUGAGGUCAAUUAAUGUCACUGUGAAGUGUGAUACAUGCAGAGUAAAUGUAUUCACAUACAUCAGACAUUAUGGGCCAAGACUAUGGAAGGGCCAGGCAUUGGAAAUUUGGAGGUCAGCAACCAUAGUGACCUGUCGGAGGAGAAACUGCUCAGCUAUUCUGGGACGAUGAACUUUCGAUAAGGAGUCAGGAUUCUGGGCUGUCCCUGCAUUGGAACUAUUUCUUCUCCCAGCAAAAAGCAUAUUAUUAGAAUCUCCUCGACUAGGACGACAUUGAAUUGCAAACCAGAUUCUUGUGCCCUGACUUGGUUACCGGAUCAACAGCUUCCCUUCAGAGGGUUUUCCUCCUCACCUCGCCUGGCCCUCGGGCUCACUCGCCUGGGCUCUGACGUUGCCAGGUCAGUCAUCCGGCUCGAGCAUGAGUCCUGGAGCAAGCCUUGUCAAGGCACAGCCUCCCUCUGGCACUUGUGGAUUCUGGGCUAACUCAGUCACAGGCUCACCUCCCCCAUCUUUUGCCUGGGUUCAGCUCCCUGUGUUGAGAGCUUGAGAACCCAGCCCUUCUUCCACGCAUGCGACUUUGCCUCCUCGCUUCUCUCGCUUGCCUCACGACACAUUUUGCUCUGGGUACCAAGCGGAGGUAAUCCCUGGUCAUUGUUAAAUGUAUUAUCCACAUUGCUACCACCUGUUUGCUUAUUUCUUUCCCCAGCUGCCCUGGGGAAAGGGCUAAAGGUAGAUGUGCUGUACUCCUGCAUCCUCAGCAACCAGCUUUGUGCUUGGAAUUGAGUGUGGACACAAAGCACUUUCACUCAUGAAACCUUUGAACCUGGAUCAGGGUGACUGAGGCGACACGCUGUCCAAUCCUGAACCCGUCACGAUGUGACAGUGUAACCCUAGGCAAGUGAUGUGGUCUGCUAGGUUCUCGGCACCCUCAUCUGCAAAGCAAGGAUGAGUGAGGUGAUCGCUAAGAUGACUUUCAGCUCCAAAAUUCUUAAUUCUGCUCCUGAUUCAGACUUUGAAGAUGAAAUCUUUCCAAACAAUAGCACUCAGGUUUCACACUAAAUGCCAGGUCCUAAUUGUUCACGUCGCUGUUGACACUGUCUUUCAGACAAAGACUAUUUUUUAAAGGAUUGGCACAUACCUUUCUCAUAUUUGCUAAAAGGCUUACCAGCUCUCUCUCCAGCUACAGGACCAACCUAAGAGAGGAAUCGCCACCUAGUGGACAAAUUCCUAGCCGGUGGCCUCCCGCGAGAGUAAGGGGAUGCUUUGUUCUCUGGCUGGUGGGUCCCACCCUUGGUUUCUCCUUCGCAUGUCUGGUGCUCACAUGUCAACCUCGCGGUUGCUUUUGCUGUCUCCGCAUCCCAGAAGUACUCCUUUCGGUGAGAGAAGUGUGUUUCCUUGGAUCUCAUCUAGUGUUUACCAAUUUGUUUCACAUUUACAACGUGGUAGGCAUUUUAAGGGAAAAGAUAAGGUCCAGAGAAGCCGCUCUGGGUCUCUUUUGGCUUUCUAUCAAUUUGGUUGGAAAACAAUCCUUGAGCCUUCAGAGCCGCCUUGGCCAGACAAGCAGAAAAGGGAGAGUAGAGUUCAUGUCUCCAGUGCAGAGCAAACCACGGAGCCCAACCUUUCAAUCAGCGCCUCACCGAAGGCUCAGUAUUUUUCAAUUUUCCUUGAUUUAAAAGGAAACCUUUCAGGGGCUAAUCUAGGGCUUAGGAUUAGUAGGGUUAUUUCAACCUGAAGUGGGAUCUUUGCCUAGAUAAUGUUUUCCCUGAGUUAAGGAAAUCUAAAUGACCUCUACUGAAAAUGAACAAAAGGCAUGAUUGCACUAGGCUUCCUUUCUCCACCUCUGAGAAAAAUAUCCACGUGAGACGCCCGUUGAGGUUCAAAGAAGCUUAGGAAAAGGUAGUCUUGGCUAAUUUACGAAACAUUAAGAGGAUUGCUAUCAACCUCCCACCCAGCUUCUGAUGCCUCUAGGGUACUUUAUUUAAUUCUCACAGCAGACACAUGCUCAUUUAACAGAGCUAAUGAUUCCCUCCAGCAGUCCCAGGUUGGCUAGCUAUUCAUAUUAUAAUUGCAUUGCGAAGGCUCUAUAUUUCUCUUCACAAACAUAUUUUCCGUUUUUCAUUAAUUUUUCUUUGCCACUAAAUGCCUUCAGCCCGCUCAGAACAUUUUGAUAUUUUAAUUUCUGUUUCCUACCACCGCCAACCCAGAGCAAAGAUUUCACUUCUCCGAAGAUUUUCAGUUAAUUUCUCUGAUAUUUCUUGCUAUGUCUCAAAAAAAUUCUGAGCACCUAAAAAUUCUCUGAACCUAAAAAUAAUUCUUUUAUUGAUCCUGAUAGCUAUUCAAAUUAAAGUUGUCUCCCUCCCUCCCUCUCCCCCUUCUUCCUUCCUUAAAAUUCAUUCAGAGCAGUUUGAGCUGAUGUACUAAGAUCAUCUACAGACAUAUUUCCCAUCUGCAAAUCCUCAGUGCUAACUACAGCGCCCAAAGGAUUCUGUCCAGAUUGCUAAGUAAUAUGCUUGUCCCUCUGCUCUUGAACAGGCUUUGUAGAUUUGUUCUUCUUACUUGCACCUUCCAGAGAGCCCGUAGGUCCAUGCAAAUACCCAGAUAGGAAGCACUGUGGGAAAAGGAGUAGUUGUAACCCUAGAGCAGUGACAGUGAACCACUCACAGCUUUCAAGUAUAACAAAGUUGCCUGUGGCACUCAUGCCAGAGAUUCACCACCACUGCCCUAGAGUUUGCCAUGCUUGUCCCAUCUACUGCCACCAAAGAAAAGUCCAGUACAAAAGCUGUCUUUGUUCCUGCCAUGUAUUUCAUACCCUGGGCAAUAUCCUUACAGAGAACGUGGCCAAAGAGCACUUUCAAAAGCAAUGUACCAAUAAAUCAGUAUGCAGUACAUAUCUGUAUCUAUUGGGCUAUCUUAGGUAUUGAGUAGAAAAUACAAAUGUAAGGCACGGCUUUUGAAUUCUGAGGACUUACACUAUAAUUAGAAUGCAAGGCUAAUGUGAAACUUCCAUAGGAAACAGAUUAUGUAUCAUAAAUCGUGUUUAUUUUUCCUAUAGAAUAAAUGGAAGAAUUGAGGCUUAUUGAUUGAUCAAGGAUAUGAUGCUAAACCUUUUGUAGAAUUAACCAUAAGUACUACAUUGGAUUAAGUUGGUAUGUUUUUAACAUAUACACAAGAACUCAAACAGAGAAACAUGAUGUAGUUGAUAGGAUGGAAGCUUGACUAAAACAAAGGGUAAAGGCCUAGGGAUACAGCUCAGCAGCACAGCACCUGCCUGGCAAGCACAAGCUCCUGAGUUUAAUUCCUGGUACCAAAAAAUUCAAAAUAUUAAAAAAAAAUUUGAAAAGGGUGAAUAUGACUUUGUUUGGGAAAAUAAUAGGAUCAUUGCAGAUAACUGAGUUAAAGAUCUUAAGAUGCGAUCAUGCUAGUUAUCAAGGUAGGCCCUAAAUCCUAGAGAGGUGCACUCACUGGACACAAAAGGGAAGACACAGACCCAGGAGAAACCAUGUGAGUGGAACCAAAUGCUGAAAUUACACAGCCAUAAACCAGUGAGGCUGAAGAGGUGAGGAACACUUCUCCCCCACAGCUUUGAAUGGACAGCAGCUCUGCCAACACUUUGAUUCCAUAACUUUAGUGAUAAUAAAUUUCCCUUGAUUUAGGCCAUCAAGUUUGCAGUAAUUCAUAAUGGUAACUGUAAAAUACUAAUACGCAGGGAAGUUCCUACUGCUAUAACAAAAUACCACAGACUGGUAAUUUAUAAAUGACAGAGAUUUAUUUCUCAUGGUUCUGAAGGCUAGAAUGUCCAAGAUCAAAGUGCCUGCCAUAGGUUGCUGUCUGGUCAGGGCCUGGUCUCUGCUUCCAAGGUGGCGCCUUGUGGCUGCAUCUUCCAGAGAAGAGGAAUGCUGUAUCCUCACAUGGCCAAUGGGAUGGAAAAGCAAAAAGGGGCUGCCUACCUCCCUCCAGCCCUUUGAUGAAUACCAAUCCCAUUCACAAAGCCAGAGACCAAACUGCCCAGUCAUCUCCCAGGUGUUCCACUUCUUAGUGCCAUCAAUGUGGGGAUUAAGCUCUGAAUUUUGGAAGAACAUAUACAUUCACACCAUAGCACAUGAUAACCCAGAGGAAGAUCUUUUGGGUGGAUCUCAUUUUACUCUCUAUAAUUCCCACCUUAUAUCUACCGCAAUGAACCAGGAAUGAAAUGUAGGCUUAAGAAAAUUUAAAAGAGCUUCUCCGUGAGUAGGAUCCUUGGAGAGAUGCCUGGGAGUGAUGACAAGAUUUAGUGAAACUUAUCCUUGUGUAUUUGCUUUGCACCCACCUUUUCCCUCCAAAAUUCUGAGUAACAAAGAAACACAUUAAGGAAAAAGCUUUGGAUUGUCUAUUACCUUCAACCCAGUCUGCCUAGGUUCUGUAUGCAAAUCUAGUUUUAAAAUUGUAUUUUCUUGUAUGUAGUUCAAUUCAGAAAACAUCACAACCAUUUAACAUAUUCAAAUUCAUUUUGGUGAGCACUUUGAUCUUCCAUGGCAUUUACUUCACCAUUUUGGAAUCUUUAAAGCUGUGCUAAAUUUGAUGACCAAAGCCAAAAUCAUACGUUGCUGAAAUUUGAUCCAGGAUAUGCAAAAUUAAAAGCAUUUGUGUCUUACUCAUAAGACCCACUUUAUCAAAUAUCCAUUGUUUGCAGUCAGUAUUUUCCCUUUAGUGGUCAUCUUGGGGGAAGAUUUUAGCUAAACAUCUGAAAUAAUGAGAUUGAUUCCUACCUAAUGCCAGUUAUAGAGGAGGCACUCAAUAAAUAUUUGUUCAGUAGAUGAAUUUAUUCACUGAAGAGUUUGAGAUUGACUUUAGGUUACCCUCGAGUUAGGAUAUGCACAAAUAAACCCAUUAAAAGUGAAGGUAUCUGCAGAAGUCCCAGAUAGGCAUGGAAUAAAGCCCAUCUUACUUCUUUAUGCAGAAGAAACAGCUGCGAACUCCUUAUAAAGCCAAAGAGUGAGGCUAACCUGGAAUCAAGAGGAAGGGUGCAGACUGGGAAUUGCUGGAGUGAGCUGGUUGCCGUUGAUUGUUACAAUGCAGAGAUCUGAACUUUGUGUUACCACCCAGCUCAUAUUUUUAUGUAAAGCCAGAAACAUAGAUGAGAACACUUGCUGUUUUAAGAGGUAGCAAGGAAUUCACUAAAAUGAGAAGGAAAGGAAAUAAGUAAGCACUCUGACGUCCAAACAGAACACAUCUGUAGGCUAGAGCCCAAAGUCUGGGUCUCUGCUUCUUAGCUUCUUCUGUUUCCUCCCCAUUCCUUGGCCUUGGAUUUUCUCUCCAGCCCCUCUGUUGGCUGCCAGUCCUUUCAGCUUCUUGAACCACUAGUUGUGCGGAAAGCAGCAUCUGAGACAGAAAUGGUGCUGGACGGAAGAUCUGGAGAGCUGAUCAGGCUCUGAACAGGUGAACGGUUCAUUGGGGGUGGGACAGGCUGGGAGGCCGGGCCACCGCCUUGUGCAGCAGCCCCAUCUCUGCGUCUCAAGCAGGACUCAUCGUCAGCAAAAUAACUCAAGAUUUUUCAGAAGGCAUCUAGGUUUCUCAAAACAAAUGAAGUUGAUCUGAGGUAAAAUUCUGCCGCUUUUUUUGUGUAUAUAUUUUUAUCCAUUAGCACGGAUAUUAGUUGAACUUAACUUCCUAAACCCUAGCACUUACUGGGAGAUGUCUUAGUCACUUUGCUCACUGGAAGGACACAGUACCCAACCCCCACAAUCUAAAGCAGAAAAGAUUGAUUUUGGUUCAAGUUUCAGUCCAUAGUUGGCUGGAUCCCUGCAGGAUGGCAUGGCACGGGCACAUCAGGGACAUGGCGGGCAUGGGGGAGUUGCUCACAGCCUGGUGAACCGGAAGCAGAGCAGGAAGGAAGAGCCGGGGAAGAAGAAAAACGCUUCCAGGCCACGCAUGCCCCUGUGCCUCACCUCUUCCAGCCAGACCCGCCUCCUCCAGCCCAGUUAGCUGUAAACUCAUAGUAUCCACCUGUGAUACCCAGUCACCUGUCACAGCACUUCCUGUGGCAUAGGAGGCUUUCCGGGGAUGUCGAGAUGCAACCCAUAAUAGAUGGACAACAGAAUACUUUACCUUUUCUUCAGUAGCACAAGCUACUUCCAAGCAUAAGCAGUAUUCUCUUUACAUUCCUUUGAGAUUCCUUUUACUUGAAAGUCAAAUGCAGAAAUGCAGUCAUUUUUGUCUGGUUCUUUCCUACAGCUGUAACCUCUGUGCUCUCACUAUGCUCACACUGUGACAUACAUUUCUAGUACGUGACCAGCAGGUGCCCAGUUCCAUGUAACAAAUGCUGGUACAGGUUGAGUAACCCUUAUCUGAAAGGCUUGAGCCAUGACUGUUUCAAAUUUGGGAUUUUUGUGGAUUGUGGAAUAUUCAGCUUUGCACAAGGAAACAUCUGGAGAUGGGCUACACAGGCAGAAGGUAAUCCCAUGCAAUAAUUCUACUGCCUCUGUGUUUUGGCUGUAACCUGUCAUCGCAUGGGAGCAAGUAUGGAAUUUUCUAUCAUGGAGUAAUGUUGGCCCUCAAAGCAUUUCAUGCUUUGAAGCAUUAAAGAUCUCAGAGUUUGACGCUAACCUGUGAUAACAAUGGUAACGGACAAUACAUAAAUACAUGAAAAAACCCAGAACAACAAACCAAACCCAAAUAGCAAUAACAAGAAAUAAAGCUCCUACCAGUUGAUUCUGAAGAGGAAGGAGAAGAGUAGUAAUUAAGGAAAUGCACAUUAAAAGGAUAAUAAGCAGUAUUACUCACUUGAUCAGUGUAAACUAAAAAUCCUAUUCCACCUCAUGUUUGUGAGGACACAGGCAAAUGUUUGCACGAAUCAGUAAACAUCUGCAGGAAAGUGUGAAAAAGGUGCACCUUUGCUACCUUGCUGCCAGGAUGCCUAUCACAGCUUUGUUUUGGUGAAGAGUCAGUUGUGUACAUCUGCUUUCAAAUACCCAUUCAGUGACAUCACAUUGGGAUCUCAAAAUUCUUCAUGUUGGAAAUAUGUAAACUACAGAAAUUGGCAAGUGCUGGAAAUUAGUGAUUCCCCACCUCCAACGGGGAGCCAAUUGCUAAUCAGCAGCACGGUGCUAGUUCUGUCUGCCUUGUUCAUACACUCCUGAAGCAAGCUCCUCUUGCUGUUAUCCAUCACAUGCUUAUCUCUAAUGGCAAUUAACUUUGCCUUCACUAAUUACAACUUUAGGAAAGAAAAAAUUUGGCCACUAUGAUUAAUUUCAGCUUGAUAAAAUGAUCUUAAGAAAGGUUUGAUAGAAUGCCAUCUACUGCCUCUGAGGAUAUAUUUUCUCUAUCUUGACUCCAAUCAUCCAUCCACCCACCCAUCCAUCCACUCUUCCACCCACCCAUCCAUCCAUCCACCCAUCCAU